rnacentral:lncRNA from 1 species
ACUGCAACUCUAUUUGAUCUGCUUCAGGCAUUCUGAAGAAAUUUGCUCUAGUGAAGAAGAAAAGUAAUAAAAACAACUUUUGUCCAUCAAUAUUCUUACCUGAUAGCUAUUCCUUGAGUGUUUUCUAGAGUAUGCCAUGACUAUAACAAUAUAGGUAGCAUAUAAUAAAAAGUAUAUAUACAUAUCUCUGUAUUUUCUUUAAACUGGUGCUUCUUGUGGGGAGUGGAAGAAAACCUGUGUAAUGAGCUGAUGAAAUACUAAAUGAAUGAAUGCUGUUGACAUGAGCACAGGCACACAGAGGAUGUCAAUGCUCACAGCUAUGGGAAUGGCAAAGCCUUCCCUUGGUCUGUGUGUAGAUGUUGACAGUAUGCAGAAAUGUUAACUGCAGCUUUCUCUUUCCAGAUGUUACAGCCCAAGACUACACCUCCACAGAAGACCCUUCCUGAGAUUUCCUUGUUCAGCUGUAUAUAAUGAGCCUGACUCCUCAUCCAGUUAUAUAAAAUAACACCGUCUCUCCAUUUAGCUAUAUACAAGAAGCCUGCCUCCUCAAUUCAAAUAAAUAAAAAAACUUACCAAGUUUCUAGGUUGUUGAUUGUAUGUCUCUAUCUCUCUAUCACAGCAUGAAGCCCAUCUGAUUCCAACUUUUCUGUAUGUGUCUCCGAAAUUUCUUCAUUUCUGGUCACCCCAGUUAGGUCAGCCCUAAAGUUGUGCAGGUUGUGUCAAUCUCUAAAAGCAUUGCAAGAUCUCACUGAAGCAUUUGAUCUCAUUGUAUGCACUCCAGUUUGCAUAUUGGUCCUUACAAACCUAUUAGCAUCCUGGGAGCAGGUGAAAUUUUUACCUAUGGCAUAUACCAUUUCCCAGGAUGAUGGUAAGCCUGGGAUGGACACUUAACCACUUCAUGUGUGGAACAAUACUCUGCCUUCAUCCUUCUACCUCUCCCUCAUUACUAUCUCUCUUAUCUUUGCUUUAGAUCUAAUCAUGUAUUUUCUGUCCCAUGCUAUUAAUGCUGCAUAAAGCAUUAUUUAAUUUUAAAAGAUAUUUCCAUCUCCUGUUACUCCAUAAAAGAAAAAUUUCACAAAAUGUCUGCUUUCCCUUUGUUCAGUAAUGGUCGGCUUUCUUCCCAACAAGAACAAUACAUCAUAUUUCUGAAGCCAUGUGAUAUUUAUCAUGAUACAUGCUAAUGGUAGCAAAUGACAUCUAAUGUUUAGUCACUGAAAUGACUUUUAAUUUUGAGGAAGUAAUAAUGUUCCAUGACUUGAAAAUAUCCAGUGAGAUCAUUGUAUGAUACCAACAGCUCAGAUGGUAUCCUUCACAAAAAUAUUCUGUGCAUCUAUAGAGGUAUGAACUUGAGAUUCAGGGUUAUUUGUCAGGAUUUAAAC